AGUGAACGCUGGCGGUAGGCCUAACACAUGCAAGUCGAACGGCAGCACAGUAAGAGCUUGCUCUUACGGGUGGCGAGUGGCGGACGGGUGAGGAAUGCAUCCGAAUCUACUUUUUCGUGGGGGAUAACGUAGGGAAACUUACGCUAAUACCGCAUACGACCUACGGGUGAAAGCAGUGGAUCUUCGGACCUUGCGCGAUUGAAUGAGCCGAUGUCGGAUUAGCUAGUUGGCGGGGUAAAGGCCCACCAAGGCGACGAUCCGUAGCUGGUCUGAGAGGAUGAUCAGCGACACUAGAGCUGAGACACGGUCCAGACUACUACGGGAGGCAGCAGUGGGGAAUAUUGGGCAAUGGGCGCAAGCCUGAUCCAGCCAUACCGCGUGGGUGAAGAAGGCCUUCGGGUUGUAAAGCCCUUUUGUUGGGAAAGAAAAGCAGCAGGUUAAUACCCCGCUGUUCUGACGGUACCCAAAGAAUAAGCACCGGCUAACUUCGUG
rnacentral:rRNA from 1 species